UUUGUUCAGACAUGUUUACGGCGUGUGUCUGUGCUUCUUCCUUUUCACUGUAAUCCGAGUGUCAUUUUAAAAACAGCAUUAUGAAGCACAUUGUGAAAAGAGGAAGAGAAAAGGGAACUCUGACACUUUGAUUGUCCUACAUAUACUCAGUAGAAGUAAUAGGAAAGGAACUUCAGUGAUUUCAGUCUUUUAAGUUCUUCAUUUGACGUCAGGUAGUAAACCGGGUCAUAAUACAGGAAAGGAAAAUGGAAACCAGCAUACUCAGCAUUGUGAUCGUCCUCAGUCUCAUUGGUAACAGCCUGGUUGUUGUGAUCAGUGUAUUCUAUAUGAAACUACGUUCACUGACCAGCAUCUUCAUACUCAACUUGGCUCUAUCAGACCUGCUGUUCACUGUCGGACUGCUGUUCUUGGUCUACGCACUUACUUGGGGUUGGACUUUUGGAGACGCAGCAUGCACUGUGGUAUACUGUAUUUUCUCAGUUGGAUUUUACAGCAAUAUGCUGCUCCUGGUGUUGAUGACCAUUCAGCAGUACACAACCAUGGUGCACCCUCACUCAGGCUGGAAGAAAAGAUCUUGCGUCAGAUGUGUUCUUAUUUGUGCGUGGGUCAUGGGCACCUUGGCAGCAUUGCAUUCUAUUUUCUCGCUUGUCUCAAUAUUUCGUUAUCCAAGAGGCUGUAUAUUCAGCAGCAAAACUCCAUUUCAUGUUAUUACAUUUAAAGAGAGCAUUGUUUUUCUGUGUGCCUUUUUGUUCAUGGUUAUUUGCUACAUCAGGAUUCUGCAAACCGUCAUGAAAUCACCACCAAACCAGAGGCACAGAACUGCUGGACUCACCUUCCUUCUGGUAGCUACAUUCGUUAUUUCUUGGGCUCCUUAUAACAUAGUGUAUUUUCUGGAGACCUUAAGUUAUUUUUUUCCAAUAACAUUUUCAAAACAUCUCAAUUAUGCCAGCUACAUCUGCUGUCAUCUGGCUUACACCCGAUCCUGCCUCAAUCCAGUGAUCUAUGGUAUACUUGGUGUAAAAUUUCGCAAGAGAGUGCGAGAGAUUUUUCAAAGCGGAGCUACUUUAAACUCUGCACCAAUGGGAAUGGGAGAACAUCAUGAUGAAACACCUUGUUGACGAGAAGCAUCAGAGGAAAAUAAUGAGACUGGUCUGAACUGACAGGAAGUCCAUACUAACUCAAAUAAGCACUCUUUACAAAAGUGGUGAGCAGAAAAGCAUCUCAGAACACUGAGCACAUCAGACCUUGAGGUAGAUAGGCUACAACGGCAGAAGACCACAUAAGGUUCCACUCCUGUCAGCCAGGAACAAUAAUCUGAGGCUAUUAUGCGUACAGACUCGCACAAACUCUAGAAAGACUGGAAAAAGACCAGGUGAAUUUUUCCUAAUCUUGAUCACAGGAGUUGAACCUGAUGUGGUCUUCUGCUGUCAAUUAUUAUUACUGUUGUUGUUGUUGUUGUCUUAAAUAAUAUCCCAUUUUUAUUAACUAGUUUUACCUUUAUACACAGAGGGUACAGUAUGUGUAAGAAUAUGUGUAUCACACAUUUCCAUCAUUUGUCUAACUGUAACACAUCAAUCAAACAUUUCUGGAUAAUCUUUGCUUUGUGUCCUACAAUAAAUGAGAAGCGUACAUAAUGUAGCAGUAGAUUCACCAAAGGGGGUUUAAAAGUGAAUAUUUUACCAUAACUAAUGCUCAGGCUGUCUGUCUGAGAUAUAGUGCACUGCUAAGGGCUGCCAAGGCUGUGGUUAUAAACCACUGUGUAGGAUGGUGCCUUGGAUGCUGGCUCCCCAAGAGAGCCAGGUGAGUUGGGCGGACUCAGCGAUGUACUGUAUACACCAUGCAGACUGACAACAACUGUAUGAGAACUUUGUUCAGUCUUCUAGACUGUGAACUGUCUCAACACCCAGAAUGUGGUUAAGCAGCCUCACCUCACUAGUCUCAGGGUACCUGUUAAGUAGUUCCUAUGACAUCCCUUUCAUUUUCGGGUUGUAACACUACAAAAUGUGGAAAAAAUCUGCAACUUAUGCAAGCCACUGUACAUCAUCAAUCAGCAGUUAUAUACAUUAACUACAUAAAACAUUCAGAAAUGUUUUAGCAGUUCCAACUCAGCGUGGCACAAGGUCCCUUUCCAGAACCUUCAUACUAACUGUUCCUCAGUGGUGGAAUGCACUUCCAAUCUCAAUCCGGACCACAGAAUCUCUCACCAUCUUCAAAAAAACAGUUAAAGACCCACCUCUUCCAUGAACAUCUAACCAACUCAUAAUAAAAAAAAAUAAUAAUAAUAAUAAUAAAAUAAAAAAUAUGCACUUACACUUCUACUCUGCACUUUGCUUCUUCUGGAAUUCAAUUAAUUAUGGUAGCACUUCUUGUAUUGUUCUCUGCUUGAUAUAUCGCUUUGCUUGUAUCUUUCUCAUUUGUAAGUCGCUUUGGAUAAAAGCGUCUGCUAAGUGAGUAAAUGUAAUGUAAAUGUAAAUACAGUGUACCUUAUUCCUCUUUCUCUAUUUCUUCAUUGAAAACCCUAACAAGUUGACUGAAAUCAACUGAUUGAGUAAACUUGUUCCCUCAAUGUUCUUGAGUCAUGGGGUCUCCCAAACUUGUAUAUUUAAGUUCACUUAACUUGUAGACUGUACUUAAAUUGUUUAGUUCACCUAACUUGGUGUUUAUAUAGUGUACUUAAAUAAUUAAGUUCAUUUAACUUGGUGUUAAUUUCAAGUGUACUUACAUAUUUAAGUGAACUCAACUUAAAUAUUCAAUUGAAAUAAAAAAAAAUUAUAAAUUAAAUCAAA